AUUAUUACAACUAUCUUUACCAUUAAUGUGGCUGCACUCUGCAAAGCCUGUAUGUAUGGGAUAGUAUAGUCACCGUCAUCCUUCAGUUAACUACUUAGUAAUGGUUACCCCACAAUUAAUUCCCCUAACCAGAACUACUUCAUUGCUCUUCUCCAUCAAUACCGGCCACGGCGGCUACCGGACGUGCAAAGACAGUAAACAGGAUGGAAAAUGAAAAACUCACCUUUGGUAUGAACACCGACCGUACGUGUAAGGUGAUCAGCGAAUCAUCAGUUUUGCUGUAAAGAAGAUGAUCAGAGCAUGUUUUAUCUCGGUCGGAAGAGAGAAGAAUAGUGAAACCAUGUUAGCUACGCGCGUACCGUGGCUUUGCUUAUGCUUCCGUUGGCCGUUUUGCUGUUGGUUUGUUCACCAGUUCCCUCUCUGCUAGUAAAUAUUUUGGGCGAGAGGGGAGAAACGUAC
rnacentral:lncRNA from 1 species